rnacentral:rRNA from 1 species
UACGGGGGGGGCGAGCGUUGUUCGGAAUUACUGGGCGUAAAGGGCGCGUAGGCGGCCUUCUAAGUCGAACGUGAAAUCCCCGGGCUCAACCCGGGAACUGCGUCCGAUACUGGAAGGCUUGAAUCCGGGAGAGGGAUGUGGAAUUCCAGGUGUAGCGGUGAAAUGCGUAGAUAUCUGGAGGAACACCGGUGGCGAAGGCGACAUCCUGGACCGGUAUUGACGCUGAGGCGCGAAAGCCAGGGGAGCAAACGGG